GAAACUCUGAUGCAGCCAUGCCGCGUGUGUGAAGAAGGCCUUCGGGUUGUAAAGCACUUUCAGUUGUGAGGAAAGGUUAGUAGUUAAUACCUGCUAGCUGUGACGUUAACAACAGAAGAAGCACCGGCUAACUCCGUGCCAGCAGCCGCGGUAAUACGGAGGGAGCUAGCGUUGUUCGGAAUUACUGGGCGUAAAGCGCACGUAGGCGGAUCAGAAAGUUGGGGGUGAAAUCCCGGGGCUCAACCCCGGAACUGCCUCCAAAACUCCUGGUCUUGAGUUCGAGAGAGGUGAGUGGAAUUCCGAGUGUAGAGGUGAAAUUCGUAGAUAUUCGGAAGAACACCAGUGGCGAAGGCGACUCGCUGGACAAGUAUUGACGCUGAGGUGCGAAAGCGUGGGGAGCAAACAGGA
rnacentral:rRNA from 1 species